rnacentral:rRNA from 1 species
UGGGGAAUAUUGGACAAUGGGCGAAAGCCUGAUCCAGCGACGCCGCGUGAGUGAUGAAGGCCUUCGGGUUGUAAAGCUCUGUUGAGGGAGAAGAAAACAGUUAGAACUAAUAUGUCUAGCUCUUGACGGUAUCCCUUUAGCAAGCACCGGCUAACUCUGUGCCAGCAGCCGCGGUAAGACAGAGGGUGCAAACGUUGUUCGGAUUUACUGGGCGUAAAGCGCGUGUAGGCGGCUUUGCAAGUCGGAUGUGAAAGCCCACGGCUCAACCGUGGAAGUGCAUCCGAAACUGCAUGGCUGGAGUCUCGGAGAGGAAGGUGGAAUGCUUGGUGUAGAGGUGAAAUUCGUAGAUAUCAAGCAGAACACCUGCGGCGAAGGCGGCCUUCUGGACGAUGACUGACGCUGAGGCGCGAAAGCCAGGGGAGCAAA